rnacentral:lncRNA from 1 species
GUCCGUACACCAUUAAGGUGACCAUGUUAAGAACUACACUAUCUUCACUUCCCAGUUUCACUCUUCAGUGAGUAAAAUAGAUGAAGUCUACAUUUCUGAGGAAAGAAGAUUAAUUGAAAAGAUAUUUAGUCUCCAUAGUAAUGUUGCAUCCUUGCUAUUAGAGAUGAAAUUUCGCAGAUGUUUCUUUGAUGAAUAAUGGACCAUACAAGCAUUUGUCAGGAAUAG